rnacentral:rRNA from 1 species
GUCCGCACCGUAAACGAUGAUUACUCGCUGCUAGGAGGUAACUCUUAGUGGCUUAGCGAAAGCGAUAAGUAAUCCACCUGGGGAGUACGCCGGCAACGGUGAAACUCAAAGGAAUUGACGGGGGCCCGCACAAGCGGAGGAGCAUGUGGUUUAAUUCGAUGAUACGCGAGGAACCUUACCAGGGCUUGAAAGUUAGGGAAUAAGUCUGAAAGGAUUUAGUCAGCAAUGACCCGAAUAGGUGCUGCAUGGCUGUCGU